UACGGAAGGCAGCAGUGGGGAAUAUUGCACAAUGGGCGCAAGCCUGAUGCAGCCAUGCCGCGUGUAUGAAGAAGGCCUUCGGGUUGUAAAGUACUUUCAGUCGUGAGGAAGGUGUUAAGGUUAAUAACCUUAGCAAUUGACGUUAGCGACAGAAGAAGCACCGGCUAACUCCGUGCCAGCAGCCGCGGUAAUACGGAGGGUGCGAGCGUUAAUCGGAAUUACUGGGCGUAAAGGGCACGCAGGCGGUUAAUUAAGUUGGAUGUGAAAUCCCCGGGCUUAACCUGGGAAUGGCAUUCAAGCUGGUUAGCUAGAGUCUUGUAGAGGGGGUAGAAUUCCAUGUGUAGCGGUGAAAUGCGUAGAGAUGUGGAGGAUACCGGUGGCGAAGGCGGCCCCUGGACAAGACUGACGCUCAUGUGCGAAAGCGUGGGGAGCAAAC
rnacentral:rRNA from 1 species